GCAUAUAUAGAAAAGUGGACCAAGGCAUUGGAUUGUGAAUCCACCAUGCAUGGGUUCAAUUCCCAUUGUUGACC
rnacentral:tRNA from 1 species